UUCUUUUCAGAUCCGUAGAUCUGUAAAAAUUAAACAUACAUUCUCGUACUGAAUUAAUGAAAAAUAUAAGUAGAAAGCAUACCUGAAUCUAUCACAGAAGAUUUGUUCACGUUCAGUGGUAGGAUUUUUUUCCAAAUCAACACGGUGAUUUGAAAUUAAUUUUUUCUGGUGACGGGAUUUCAAAAAAUAAAAAUGACAAUCUUUUGGUUUGGGACCAUAACCCCUUUUUAUAUCGACAAACUUUUGUAAUUUCUAUCUCACCCAUCAUAAAAUGAGAAUAUUACAAAAAUGAUAUCUAUACAUUACAAGCC
rnacentral:lncRNA from 1 species